GACGAACGUUGGCGGCGCGGAUUAGGCAUGCAAGUCGUACGAGAAUCGUAGCAAUACGAGGAAAGUGGCGGAAGGGAGAGGAUUACGUGGGAAUCUACCCUCAGAACUGGGAUAGCGGCGGGAAACUGCCGGUAAUACCAGAUAAUGUCUGUGGACCAAAGGUGUGAUUCCGUCUGGGGAUGAGCCCACGUCCUAUUAGCUAGUUGGCAGGGUAAUGGCCUACCAAGGCAAUGAUGGGUAGCGGGUGUGAGAGCAUGACCCGCCUCACUGGGACUGAGAACUGCCCAGACACCUACGGGUGGCUGCAGUCGAGAAUCUUCGGCAAUGAGCGCAAGCUUGACCGAGCGACGCCGCGUGCGGGAUGAAGGCCUUCGGGUUGUAAACCGCUGUCGUAGGGGAGCAAGAGAUGAGGGUACUCCCUCUGAUUUGAGCGAUCCUAGGAGGAAGGACGGGCUAAGUUCGUGCCAGCAACCGCGGUAA
rnacentral:rRNA from 1 species